rnacentral:lncRNA from 1 species
AUGAUGGCUAAAGCACUGGAGGAGUGGAGAGCUGAGCUAUUAAUUCAAUUGCAUUGCUGCCGAUCCAGACCUUACCCGUUCUUUCUGGUAAGCAGCAGAGAAGAAAGAAGAGGCAGUUCGAUGGCCGCUGACCCCUCCCCACGCCUCCCCUCCCUCUCUCCGUGGCCGGCUGAGCGCUCGCCGUCGGCUCCUUCCUGCGAUGGCACCGCUUGGGGUGCUGCCGGUUGCAGAGGGAGCACGGCACCAACUUGUUGCAGCCCACGUUUGGUUUCUCACCACUGGACACGCCAAUUUUUGGGAUUCUCCCGCGGCGCUGCCCUUGUCCUGCAGCCGGGAGCCGCGGUGCUGUGCCGCUGUGCCGCGACAGCCGUGCACCAACGGGCUGAAGGGGAGGAGGAGGGCAAGCGGGGGGGUCACAGAGGAGCCUGGUGCUCAGCACCCCCCUUCUGGUGCUUCUGCUCAGGAUCCACGGGUUCUGCCAUGGUCCACGGGGGUUUCACUGCUCUGCUCCUGCCUCUGCAUCACCAGCACCACCUGCACCACUGUGCCGGGGGCUCCCCUGGGGCCCCGCAGGAUGAAGCAGCAGCAUCCCUGGCCCACAGCCCCCCCCAAACCCCAACCCCCCGGCUGCACUGCCCGGGCUGCAGGUGGGCAGGGAAUGAUACUGCCAGGAGCUGUUUCUCCACCUCCUCUGUUGGCCGAGGUGACUCCACAAGUGCCGAGCACCAAAAAGCCACCGGCAGAGCGAGCGAUGGGUGCGCGGCGUGUGGCACCGGCGGCUUCUUGAGAGAAGGAGCCAAAAAGUCACGGAAGGAGGGCAAGGAAUGGUCCCCCAGCAGGGUCUGGUGCUGCCCCCCACCCUCUCACAGCACACAAAGGGUCCCAUUUGGAGCUGGGACCACGGCCCUGGCAGGCAGCAGGGCCCCCCCGGGCUGGCGCUGCCUGCGCAGAGCUGGGGCUUGCAGCGGUGACUCACGGAGCCUCGCAAGGGGUCAGCUCUUUAUCAGCUCCCUCUCUGCCAGCACCGGAGGAGUUCAGUACGCCGCGUUCUCCUACCCUGAGAUUGAUGACAGAUCGUGCUUGCCAUGA